rnacentral:rRNA from 1 species
AUACGAAUGGAGCAAGCGUUGUUCGGAAUCACUGGGCGUAAAGCGUACGUAGGCGGAUUUUUAAGUCGGAAGUGAAAGCCCAGGGCUCAACCCUGGAACUGCUUUUGAAACUGGAAGUCUAGAGUCCCGGAGAGGUUAGGGGAAUUCCGAGUGUAGCAGUGAAAUGCGCAGAUAUUCGGAGGAACACCAGUGGCGUAGGCGCCUAACUGGACGGGAACUGACGCUGAGGUACGAAAGCGUGGGGAGCAAACAGGAUUAGAAACCCUAGUAGUCC